GAUACUUUUUAAUCCAUUUUCGUGACGAGAACGUGAAUAAAAUGUGGAAUAAAAACGCAAUUGACAUUCCAUAUGUAACACAAAUUUAUUGUUCAAAACAUCUGAGUAGGCUUUCUUUUCAUUAAAAUGAAAACAAAACUGAAAAAUGAAAAAUGAAAAAGUUAUCAGUCACAACAUCAAUUUGAUGAAAAAAAAAACCAAAUGCAUUGAAGUUUUCCGGUGAAACUCCCGCCUUAAUUGGAAAGUGAAAUUGGCCUUAUUAGCACCGCCACCUGAGCCAUUGUAUUCACUGCUUCGUGGCGAAACCCCAGAAUCACAUUUUCUAGCAAACACUCAAAAAUACUACGGUGGUUUUCAAAUGACAUCAUUUGGGGCAGACAUGAUCGAAUAAAAGCUAAAUCUGUACACAUCUGGCAACUCUACCCAGAAACUAUAAUAAUAACAGCUGAAGUUGAAGUUGUGUGAAGUAUAACUGCAUCUAAGUUUUUCAAGCGAAACUUUUCGAAGCUGAGUCAAGUCAAGCAUCGGUAACUGGAGCUUUACAAUCUAAUAUUCAUCUUAUAAACAUAUGUUCCACUUGAGACGCACCACAGGUGUUCAACAAUUUUUGCUAUCGGACAAAGGCUGGAGGAAGAGUGGCAAAUGUCAAAUACCCCGUGCGGCCUGGAAGUGUAAGUUGCGGACAUUAUGUGAGGACUCCUUUGGUUUCUUUCAUUAAUUUCACUAGUACAAGAUUCAUCCAAUUUCUGGGAGGAGGGUUUCUAUAAAAUAUAUAGAAUUCUAAAUCUAGCACGGGCAACGUUCUAGUCUUAACAUCCAUGCUCUUGCUGUAGUACUUCCAUUGAACUAAUUUCUGUGAAUCCAUGUCCUUGUAAAGCGAUACAACAACGUUAUAAUUCCUCAAAACAAGCGCAUUGGCAAAACCCAGUUGACACACGUCGCGAUGAUAAACGGUUACAAAAGCACCUAAACCAUGUCGUUCCAAUUCUUCACGUGCAUGUUUUGACCAAAAGGUUUAAUUGCACGUAAAAAAGUGACAUUAAACCUCGAAAUCCAACGCAGAAUCACUCUUGCCAACAUGUGCUACUUUGACAAAUCAAAACUACAAGUCGAGUUAAAAUCAAACUCUACAAGUUGCUCAUUAUUCCCGUCCUGAUGUAUGGCGCAGAAGCGUGGUCGAUGACAGCAUCCGAUGACGACUCUUGGGGUUUUCGAGAGAAAGGUUUUGCACAAGAUUUGUAGUCCUCUGAACAUUGGCAACGGCGAUUACCGCAGACGAUGGAUCGAUAAGCUGUACGAUUUGUACGACGACAUUGCCAUAGUUCAGCGAAUAAAAAGACAGCGGCUACACUAAGUCAUGUUUUUCGAAUGAAUGAAAACACUCCAGCUUUGGAAGUGUUCAAUACAGUACCCGCUGGUGGAAGAAGCGGAAGAGGACGACAUCCACUCCGUUGAAAAGACCAAGUGGAAAAUUACCGGACGGCACUUGGAAUUUCCAAAUGGCGCCAAAUUGCAAAACGGAGGGAUGAAUGGCACGCUCUGGUGGAUUCAGCCAUAAUCGCGAAAGUGGUUCCUAUGUAUGUACAUAUAUUGAGAUGGCGGAGAAAUCUUAAAUUAAAGUAAAAAUAAAAAAUGAAUUUAGACUAAUAUGUAAUUAUAUGAGUGGUUUUUAAAAUAUUGUGUAAAGUAACAAUUAUUGAACAAUGCAAAACUAUCCGGAGGUACAAUGGAACGGUUUUGCACCCGAAAUAAAUAGUUUCAGGCUACCACAUAGGUCUGAAAAUAAAUGACAGAGGGUAAUAUUUUUAAUUAAUUUGUAAGAUUGGAUUUACUUCUGUAAGUAUGGAUAUUAAUAUUCAGAAGAUGCAGUUUUUAAUAAGGUUAUGCGAUUUGCACAAGUCCAUCCAUCCAUACAUCCGAUUACACCUGGGAAUUGCGUUUUAUUUCUUAUUAUUUAUUACUAGCAGAGCCGGCCACACGUUUUUGUGUAAGGUAUACAUUAUAUUAGUAAUUUUUCAAUACACAGAAAAAAUUCCGACGCAUAAAUACGAGAACGUUAUAACCGGUAAAUUUUAAAAUGAUUCAUAUACCGUUGGCUUAAUAUAGAAAAGGCGUAUCUACAUUUUUUUCGAAAUCGCGUUUUUAAUGUAUUCUGGUAGACCACUGUCAAAUACUAAUUAAUAGUCAUAUAAAAAUAUCCCUAACUCAUUCGAAGUUACAAUAACAACAUAAAGCCCUAUCUCAAAUAACUUCAAAGAAA